AUCCUGCCAGUCAUAUGCUUGUCUCAAAGAUUAAGCCAUGCAUGUCUGAGUACAGACCGAUCUAAGGUGAAACCGCGAAUGGCUCAUUAAAUCAUUCAUAAUUCCUUGGAUAGUGAUAAACUUUCCUCGGAUAACUGUGGAAAAUCCAGAGCUAAUACGUGCAACAGAGCUCCGACCUAAAUGAAAGUUUUGGGAAGAGCGCAUUUAUUAUAUUCAAAACUGACCGGAGUACUCCUUCGGGAUACGCCGUUUGUCAAAACUUUGAUGACUCAGGAUAACUAAGCCGAGCGCUACGGUCUUUGUUUACCGGCGCCGUUUCUUUCAAGUGUCUGCCUUAUCAGCUUUCGAUUGUAGGUUAAACGCCUACAAUGGCUGUAACGGGUAACGGGGAAUCAGGGUUCGAUUCCGGAGAGGGAGCCUGAGAAACGGCUACCACAUCUAAGGAAGGCAGCAGGCACGCAAAUUACCCACUCCCAGCCCGGGGAGGUAGUGACGAAAAAUAACGAUGUGAGACUCUUCCGAGGCCUCACAAUCGGAAUGAGUCCAUUUUAAAUCCUUGGACGAGGAUCCAUUGGAGGGCAAGUCUGGUGCCAGCAGCCGCGGUAAUUCCAGCUCCAAUAGCGUAUAUUAAAGUUGCUGCGGUUAAAAAGCUCGUAGUUGUACCUUCUAUAUCAAUUUCGUGGGCGAGUGCUCUUUGCACGGGUCCUCGCGCGGUCCCUAGAUGAUGACGACUGAUAUCCUUCCUUCGGGUCGGUGCCGACGGUACAGAAUCUUUUGGACGGCGAGGCGAUGUCUUAGGGCGUUGCUCGUCCGCGAUUGGUGCAAUUAAAAUUUUGUCGGCUCGCUCGGAGUGCUUUUUAUCGAGUGUUCCUGGGUGGCUGACACGUUCACUUUGAAAAAAUUAGAGUGCUUAAAGCGGGCUUAUUAACGGCCUGAAUGUCUGUGCAUGGAAUGAAGUAACAGGACCUCGAUUCUGUUGCAUUUUGUCGGUUUUAUUGAACCGAGGUAAUGAUUAAAAGGGACAGACGGUGGCAUUAGUAUUGCUGCGCUAGAGGUGAAAUUCUUGGACCGUAGCAAGACUAACUAAUGCGAAAGCAUUUGUCGAGAAUGUUUUCAUUAAUCAAGAACGAAAGUUAGAGGAUCGAAGGCGAUCAGAUACCGCCCUAGUUCUAACCCUAAACUAUGCUAACUAGCGAUCCGCCGGAGUCAUUCCCACGACCCGGCGGGAAGCCCCAGGGAAACCAAAGUUUUUGAGUUCCGGGGGAAGUAUGGUUGCAAAGCUGAAACUUAAAGGAAUUGACGGAAGGGCACCACCAGGAGUGGAGCCUGCGGCUUAAUUUGACUCAACACGGGAAACCUCACCAGGCCCGGACAUCAUAUGGAUUGACAGGUUGAGAGCUCUUUCUCGAUUUGAUGGAUGGUGGUGCAUGGCCGUUCUUAGUUGGUGGAGUGAUCUGUCUGGUUGAUUCCGAUAACGAACGAGACUCUACCCUACUAACUAGUCGGCGGAUCGUAACCCUGAGAUGGUUAGUUUGUAUAGGAGGGUUUCGCUUAGAAGAGGUCCGGUCAAUAGGGGUGUCCUAACAUUAGCUAUUCCGUAGCUUUUUGGAAGGUUCUUCUAUCGGUCUUUUCGACGCUUGGCUUUCUGAUUACUACUACUGCUGGGGGCGUCCGUCGCAAUGUAUCUUCUUAGAGGGAUCAGCGGCGUAUAGCCGCACGAGAAAGAGCAAUAACAGGUCUGUGAUGCCCUUAGAUGUUCUGGGCCGCACGCGCGCUACAAUGUAGGGCUCAGUGUGCUUUCCCUCUCUGAAAGGAGCGGGUAACCCGUUGAAACCCCUACCCAAUUGGGAUUGGGGAUUGCAAUUAUUUCCCAUAAACGAGGAAUUCCCAGUACGCGCGAAUCAUUAAUUCGCGUUGAUUACGUCCCUGCCCUUUGUACACACCGCCCGUCGCUACUACCGAUUGAAUGAUUCAGUGAGGGCAUCGGACUGGCCCUUUGGUUUAGUCCUAUCAUAACUAGGCCUUAGGCUGACGGAAAGAUGUCCGAACUGAUCAUUUAGAGAGUAAAGUCGUACAGGUUCCGUAGUGA
rnacentral:rRNA from 1 species